CUCCUCCGUGUGCGUCGUCGAGUCUCAGAGAGUUUGAUCCUGGCUCAGGAUGAACGCUGGCGGCGUGCCUAACACAUGCAAGUCGAACGGACUUAAUUUGAAACCUAGUGAUAAUUAAGUGAGUGGCGGACGGGUGAGUAACGCGUGGAUAACCUGCCGUAUGCAGGGGGAUACCAACUGGAAACAGUUGCUAAUACCGCAUAAGCGCACGGUGUCGCAUGACACAGUGUGAAAAGGUUUAACGGCAUACGAUGGAUCCGCGUCCGAUUAGCCAGUUGGCGGGGUAACGGCCCACCAAAGCGACGAUCGGUAGCCGGCCUGAGAGGGCGGACGGCCACAUUGGGACUGAGACACGGCCCAAACUCCUACGGGAGGCAGCAGUAGGGAAUUUUCGGCAAUGGGGGGAACCCUGACCGAGCAACGCCGCGUGAACGAAGAAGUUAUUCGUAAUGUAAAGUUCUUUUAUCAGGGAAGAAAGAGGAAUUUGACGGUACCUGAGGAAUAAGCUCCGGCUAACUACGUG
rnacentral:rRNA from 1 species